rnacentral:rRNA from 1 species
UACAGAGGUGGCAAGCGUUGUUCGGAAUUACUGGGCGUAAAGGGCGCGUAGGCGGUUCGUUAAGUCCUGUGUGAAAUCCCCGGGCUCAACCCGGGAACUGCGUCCGAUACUGGCGGGCUUGAAUCCGGGAGAGGGAUGCGGAAUUCCAGGUGUAGCGGUGAAAUGCGUAGAUAUCUGGAGGAACACCGGUGGCGAAGGCGGCAUCCUGGACCGGCAUUGACGCUGAGGCGCGAAAGCCAGGGGAGCAAACGGG